rnacentral:tRNA from 1 species
GGGGAUUUAGCUCAGUGGUAGAGCACUUGCCUAGCAAGCGUAAGGCCCUGGGUUCCAUCCCUAGCUCCG